UACGUAGGUGGCAAGCGUUGUCCGGAAUUAUUGGGCGUAAAGCGCGCGCAGGUGGUUUCUUAAGUCUGAUGUGAAAGCCCACGGCUCAACCGUGGAGGGUCAUUGGAAACUGGGGAACUUGAGUGCAGAAGAGGAAAGUGGAGUUCCAAGUGUAGCGGUGAAAUGCGUAGAGAUUUGGAGGAACACCAGUGGCGAAGGCGACUUUCUGGUCUGUAACUGACACUGAGGCGCGAAAGCCAGGGGAGCAAACGGG
rnacentral:rRNA from 1 species